rnacentral:lncRNA from 1 species
AAAUGAUUGGUUUUCAAAAAUAUUUAAACUGAAUCAACAUGACGAGAAUUUAUUGAUCUCAAAUUUAGAUUCAAAUUCAUUAUACUUCCCGUUUUAAACGUUAAACUAAUAUAAGCAAACAAACAAAGGUAUACUAAAGCUAAUGUUUAACUGGACAACCGCAGCCAAACACUCCACAGUCUGAUAUAGUUCAAAUUAAUUAUAAUGAAGAUCUCACUAACUGAAAACACUAUCCAUUCCAGAACAGUACUAAUCAUGUCAAACAAAUCUAGGUAUACAUUCAGAUGCAAUGAAGGAUGAAUACAUCAAUAUAAAUAGAGUGUAUUUAGAUUAAAUGAAUCUGAAACUAUCACGUUUCUAUUCAUCUUCAUUUCAAAUCAACAAUAGUACAACGAAAUAGGAGCAAAUACCUGGAAGUUAGAAUGCAAACAGAAGAAGAAGAAGAGAUCAGCAACAAUUAACAAAACUAGAAUCCAGUCACAAAUCAGCAGCAACACAACAAUUUUUUGAACCAAAACAGCUUCACAAAAUCCAGAACCACACUACAGAGGUAAAGCACAAAAAAAUGACCCAAAACAACUCGAUUGAACCCAAAACCCACUCGAAAUCAAACCCAGUGAUUCUCUGAAACUUCAGCAACCAGAAGAGAUGAGAAGCAAUGCCUAGAACUCAAAAUUAACCUAGAAAAUGCAAUCUAACAGUAUUUUUGGCUUUUCUACUGUAUUUUUGUUUGUUUUUUAAAUUUUUGGCAGAAAAAUAGAUCUAAAGGAAGGUUUGAACUAUAAGAGUUCAGAUUUUGAACUUCUUUGGAUAUGAAAUUCAAAAUUUGAGGCUCAGAUUUGCAGGAAUGGUUUUGGGGGGAAUUUUGGAGGCUGAAACUUGUGAAUUAAGGCAGAAUGUGCUGCCUUUUAUAGGCAAAGCUUAAAGAAAACUUUAGAUCUCAUUUUUUCCAUCUUAGGCCCUCUUUAUUAUUCAAUUUUACUAUUUAGUCCCUUAUUUUUGGACUUGUUACUCAAGUCACUGUACUAAAAUUGCUAAACUUUGAAUUAAGGCCCUAUUCUAGAAAGGGUCUAGGGAAUUCUAGCUUUAUCUACACCAUUUCUUUACAUAGGAAUACCCAAACUACCCUUCAUUCAAUCCUAACACUACUGCAUUAGCCUAACUAAAUUCUAGCCCCUUUUAUCCUAAUUAUGCACUAUCAACUAUAACCAAAUCAACUAACAUUAAUGGCGAUCCUAACAAUUGAACCCAAGUAAUCCAGGCUGAAACUAAUACUAACUAAAUCAAAAUUAAAAGAUCCAAUCAAAUGAACUAGUUAAAUACUAAAUCAAAACAAUAACUAAACUAUUAAGAAAAUCAUGAGAAUAAAUUCGAACAUGAACAAAACUAAACUAACAGAAUUAAUAAUAGGAAUGAAUUCACACUAAGAAAAUCAUGAGAAUAAACUCGAACAUGAACAAAACUAAACUAACAGAAUAAAUAAUAGGAAUGAAUUCACACCAACAUUUAUACUAACCACAAUGAGAAAGAAAAUAUGGGGAAUAUCUACUAAUAAUCAAAGAAUUAAAGUAAAUCAUAUUCUUAACUAAAACAGACUAAGAUGAAUCAGGAAACAACAUCACCAUGAAAUCAGAACAUAACUUAAACUAAGAUAAGAUAUCAUAAAAACAGGAUCAAGAAAGAAAAACAAACAUAAGAAAGAUUCAAUCAUGAACAUUGGAUUUGGAUCACAUAAAUGUGCACCCGAGUUUAAGAAGGUAAUAUUAUUAAAUGACGGGCCUAAAACGACUAGCGUAUUAUUAACUUUACGGGAGGGCGUGAAAUUCGCUAAACGACACGUCUCGAAUUCUAAACAUUUUUAAUUUGAUUAAGAGGGCCACGCAAUAUAUGAUUUUUAUUUAGCACGACAUACCUAAUUUUAUUUUAAAGGGUAACCUAGAGCAACUACAAAUUUGUAUUAUGUAUUGUCUCUAAAAAUAAAGGAAAAGGCCCCAAUUAAUUGGUAAAUAAAUGCAUCAUUGCAAAAAUAUUCAAUCUAAUUUCAUGUUCAGAUCACGUCUAACUGAUUGGUGUUCAAAAAUAUUUAAACUAAAUCAACAUGACGAGAAUUAAUUGAUCUCAAAUUUAGAUUCAAAUUCAUUAUACUUCCCGUUUUAAACGUUAAACUAAUAUAAGAAAAAAAAUAGGUAUACUAAAGCUAAUGUUUAACUGGAUAACCGCAGCCAAACACUCCACAGUCUGAUAUAGUUCAAAUUAAUUACAAUGAAGAUCUCACUAACUGAAAACACUAUCCAUUCCAGAACAGUACUAAUCACGUCAAACAAAUCUAGGUAUACAUUCAGAUGCAAUGAAGGAUGAAUACAUCAAUAUAAAUAGAGUGUAUUUAGAUUAAAUGAAUCUGAAACUAUCACGUUUCUAUUCAUCUUCAUUUCAAAUCAACA